GACGAACGCUGGCGGCGUGCCUAAUACAUGCACGUAGGACGCAGUUGCGAACGGGUGAGUAACGCGUAGGUAACUACCUAUGAGAGGGGGAUAACUAUUGGAAACGAUAGCUAAUACCGCAUACUAGUAGAUUGACCUGCGUUGUAUUAGCUAGUAGGUAGGUUAAUGGCCUACCUAGGCAACGAUACAUAGCCUACCGUGGAGGAUGAGAAGUCAAACUGGAAAGGAGACACGGUCCAGACUCCUACGGGAGGCAGCAGUGGGGAAUAUUGGACAGUGGGCGAAAGCCUGAUCCAGCCAUGCCGAGUGUGUGAAGAAGGUCUGCGGAUUGUAAAGCACUUUAAGUUGGGAGGCGUUACCAACAGAAUAAGCACCGGCUAACUGCGUGCCAGCAGCCGCGGUAAUAC
rnacentral:rRNA from 1 species